rnacentral:rRNA from 1 species
UACGAAGGGGGCUAGCGUUGCUCGGAAUCACUGGGCGUAAAGCGCACGUAGGCGGCUUUUUAAGUCAGAGGUGAAAUCCUGGAGCUCAACUCCAGAACUGCCUUUGAUACUGAAGAUCUUGAGUUCGGGAGAGGUGAGUGGAACUGCGAGUGUAGAGGUGAAAUUCGUAGAUAUUCGCAAGAACACCAGUGGCGAAGGCGGCUCACUGGCCCGAUACUGACGCUGAUGCACGAAAGCGUGGGGAGCAAACAGG